rnacentral:rRNA from 1 species
UACAGGUCUGGCAAUUGGAAUGAGAACAAUUUAAAUCCCUUAUCGAGUAUCAAUUGGAGGGCAAGUCUGGUGCCAGCAGCCGCGGUAAUUCCAGCUCCAAUAGCGUAUAUUAAAGUUGUUGCAGUUAAAAAGCUCGUAGUUGGAUUUCUGGCAGGAGUGACCGGUCACGCACUCUGUGCGUGAACUUGUGUUGUCUCUGGCCAUCCUUGGGGAAAUCCUGUUUGGCAUUAAGUUGUCGGGCAGGGGAUACCCAUCGUUUACUGUGAAAAAAUUAGAGUGUUUAAAGCAGGCUUAUGCCGUUGAAUAUAUUAGCAUGGAAUAAUAAGAUAGGACUUCGGAACUAUUUUGUUGGUUUGCGUUACGAAGUAAUGAUUAGUAGGGACAGUUGGGGGUAUUCGUAUUCCGUUGUCAGAGGUGAAAUUCUUGGAUUUCCGGAAGACGAACUACUGCGAAAGCAUUUACCAAGGAUGUUUUCAUUAAUCAAGAACGAAAGUGUGGGGAUCGAAGAUGAUUAGAUACCAUCGUAGUCUACACCAUAAACCAUGCCGACUCAGGGUUGACCGGCGUUAU